rnacentral:rRNA from 1 species
UAACAUGAGAGUUUGAUCCUGGCUCAGGAUGAACGCUGGCGGCGUGCUUAACACAUGCAAGUCGAACGGAGUAAUUAAAGUAGCUUGCUACAUUAAUUGCUUAGUGGCGGACGGGUGAGUAACGCGUGGAUAACCUACCUUACACAGGGGGAUAACAACGAGAAAUCGUUGCUAAUACCGCAUAAGUGUGAUUUCCGCAUGGGGAU